rnacentral:lncRNA from 1 species
UUUAUGCAUUUAGUGGUAAGUUUUUCGGAUAUAAUUUUAUAUUAAUAUUAUUAAUUCAUAAUUUUUCUUAAAAUGUUAAAGUGAUCUUUAAUGUUCUUAAAACAAAGUAUGUAUUUUUUUUAUUAAGUUUUUGUGACAAUAAGUUGAAUAUAUCUUAGACCACAAAUCAUAAAUAUUCUCAGUCUUAUAUAUUUUGUUCUUCAAGUUAUUGUUACUUUUAUUUCCUUUUAUACAUUUCUCUUAAU